AAGGCAUUAACUCCGGUCUUCCACUCAAACCUGUUGAGUGAGCUGAGCAAGCUCUGCCCAGCAGACUGACCAAGAUGAGCCGAAAGGAUGGGACUCGCAUAUCUCCGUUGGUCUCCAAGAUACACUGUGACCAGCUUCCUCAAACUCCCGCUGUGACUUCCCUGCCAUAAUGGACUGUGCACCCUCAACUGUGAGCCAGAGUAGUCAGAUCCACAAGCCACUCCCACCUGGGACUUGACGCCCGAACAAAUAAAUUAGACUCAUUAUUCACAUCGGCAGC